ensembl:miRNA sha-mir-25 sha-mir-25
GGGGGGGGCAUUAGAGCAGGACUCUUCUCCCUUACAGGCCAUCUGGACUGGCCAGUGUUGAGAGGCGGAGACUUGGGCAAUUGCUGAACACUGCCCUGGGCAUUGCACUUGUCUCGGUCUGACAGUGCUGGCAAAACACAGCACAUCCUG